rnacentral:rRNA from 1 species
UCAGCUUGUUAGUGGGGUAACGGCCUACCAAGGCGACGACGGGUAACCGGCCUGAGAGGGCGACCGGUCACACUGGGACUGAGACACGGCCCAGACUCCUACGGGAGGCAGCAGUGGGGAAUAUUGCGCAAUGGGCGGAAGCCUGACGCAGCGACGCCGCGUGAGGGAUGACGGCCUUCGGGUUGUAAACCUCUUUCAGCAGGGACGAAGCGAAAGUGACGGUACCUGCAGAAGAAGCGCCGGCUAACUACGUGCCAGCAGCCGCGGUAAUACGUAGGGCGCAAGCGUUGUCCGGAAUUAUUGGGCGUAAAGAGCUCGUAGGCGGUUUGUCGCGUCUGUCGUGAAAGCCCACGGCUUAACCGUGGGUCUGCGGUGGAUACGGGCAGACUAGAGGCAGGUAGGGGAGAAUGGAAUUCCCGGUGUAGCGGUGAAAUGCGCAGAUAUCGGGAGGAACACCGGUGGCGAAGGCGGUUCUCUGGGCCUGUACUGACGCUGAGGAGCGAAAGCGUGGGGAGCGAACAGGAUUAGAUACCCUGGUAGUCCACGCCGUAAAACGUUGGGCGCUAGGUGUGGGGUCCUUCCACGGAUUCCGCGCCGUAGCUAACGCAUUAAGCGCCCCGCCUGG